AUGGCUUUUAUAAACUGUCCACAAGAGAAAGGUUCAACAUUCAUCCAAACAAGAUGGCUGAGACUAAGAUUUUGUUCAAAUAAAUUUCACUGUGAUUAUUACGGUAGCGGCUACUACUUUGAUGUAUGGGGCAACGGCCAGUACGUCGCUGUGUCAUCAGUUACACAGCAAACACCAUCUCUCUUUCCACUCAUUUCUUGUGGCAAGCCUCAGGAAACCACCACUACCAUUGGCUGCUUGGCCAAAGAUUUCUUUCCAGAGACGAUUAACUUCUCAUGGGCUGAUAAGUCCAAUAGCAGCUAUACCAAAGGCUUGAAGACAUAUAAUCCAAUACUGCAAUCCAGUGGUGUGUAUAUAACCAGCUCACAAGUACAAGUGCCAACUACUAACUGGGUGAACCAUGAUGUAUAUUACUGUACAGCAAAACAUGCGGAAAUCAGCAAAACUGUGAAACUUGGUAAUUCAGAACCAGAAAAAACAGAACCAGAACCCACUCAGCCUGUUGUAACCAUGCACGCUCCUAUAAAAGAAGACCUGAGUAAAUAUGACAAUGGCACCAUUGUGUGCCUCGUAAGUGAAUUUUAUCCUGGAGAAAUUAACAUAACUUGGCUCAAAAACCACAAGAGAACUGUCCUCAACACCAUGACAGAAAAUGCCACUAAUGCUAAUGGGUACUUUACAUUAAGCUCAUACAUCACUGUAUCUAAAAAGGAAUGGGAUGAAGACACCGUACUCUCAUGUGUGGUAGAGCAUUCUUCAACUAACUUUAAUGACAUUAGGAAUGUGAGCAAAUCUAGGACUUGUGAGCAAGCAACGCAUGAAGAGAUCCAAAUCACUGCAAUUCCUCCAUCUUUUGAAAGCAUUUAUCUUAAUAAGGCAUCUCUCACCUGUGUCAUUUCCAACAUGAAUACUGCAGAUGGAUUAGAUGUCUCAUGGUAUGACCUACAGACUGAAAACAAGCUUCAUACCACUCUUCAAAACCCUGUCUACCAAGAUGGUUCAUUUACUGCCAAGGCCACAACUAACGUGUGUGCUGAAGACUGGCUUAAAAAGACUUUUGAAUGUAGAGUGAGACAUCCUGAACUAACUUCCCCAAUGAAAGUAUUCCUGGCUAAAGAGAAUGGCCAGGAGCUUCUGACCCCUACAAUUAUGCUUUACCCACCACAUCAAGAAGAAUUAAAUAAGAAAGAAACUGCCUCUGUAACAUGUAUUGUAAAGGGAUUCGCUCCAGAAGAUGCAUUUGUCAAGUGGUUUGUUGAUGAUGAAGUACGAGAAGAAUAUGUCGUGACUACUAAACCUAUGGUAGAUGCCUAUUCUACUGGCAAAAAAACCUACAUCCUAUAUAGCACAUUGACUCUUAAAAACACCGAGGAAUGGACCUCUGGAAAAUCCAUUUCCUGUAUGGUUGGUCAUGAAUCAUUACCACUAUACACCACCCAGAAGAUCAUUGACAAAACUACUGCCCAUACAUUUUACAUAGAUGAAGAAGAUGAUUUUGAUAACCUGUGGACCACAGCCUCCACCUUCGUAGUGCUCUUCCUUCUGAGUCUCUUCUACAGUGCUACUGUAACUUUGUUCAAGGUGAAAUAAUAUCAUUGGAACAGACCUGUGCUUUUAGCCACAAGUUCUUAGCUUUGUGCUGCAAUACCAUGUCAUUGCUCAAGUUAUGUAAAUACUUUUCUCUGUCAACCUGUGUGCAACAUAGUAUUGUUAAUAUUUUACUGUGCUUUUUUCUGUUACUGUAAAUGUAUUCAUAUAAGUGCAAUAAACUUUUUUUAUGUAUUAACACAAAAACUGCAUUGCUUCCAGCUUUCGCUUUAUAUACCGUAUGUGUGAACUUCUCUCCUUGGUUGUAAAUUCUUUUUCCUUAAACUAAUCCUAAGCACUGCACUGGUUGAAGGUUGAAACAUAGUAGAAAGGUGUACUGAUCACUUAAAGGUUCUUGUCUUACUGAUUAAAAUGGAAAAAAAUAUCAAGUUAUAUUUUUGCUUUUUGAUCAAA